UGGGGUUUAGUGUAUUAAAGGUAGCACGAAGAAUUUUGAGUUCUUAAGGUUAGGUUCAAGUCCUAUAGUCCCAG
rnacentral:tRNA from 1 species